AUCCCUCUCUCUCCGUCUCCCUCUCUUUCUCUCAGCUGGUUUUCACACAAGAGUAAUAGGAUUACCACACACUGCUCUGCCAAGGACAGAGAGCGGAGGGGGAGACAGGAGGGCAGGUUAAAGAUGGCAAGAGGGAAAUAAAGAGAACAAGUUAAAGAAGAGAAUGCCAUGCUGCUGCACACCCAAUCUGAAGUCCUUAGGAGUAACAGGCUUGUGAUAUUUGAGGAGCAACAGAGAGCGCAAUGGAUCUGUAUCCAGUACAGCUGUCAUUUCAGAGGCGUGGAGCUAAUCAGAGGUCUGAUUUAGCAGCAUGACGGGCCUAAAGCGGGGUCACCACAGGGCUGCUACUCAUUGCUGCCGAAAGUACACCAGCUGCUGAACUUCACGAUCUGUAUUAACUGACAAGAUGUGGUGGUGUGUUCCAGAUAGAUGGCGGUAACCCAAAGCUCCUCGUUUCAAACUCUGAAAGGGAAUAAAGUAUCAGCGACGUGCUCUCGAGUCCUGCAAGUUUUCGGUUUUGCAGGACCAGCACAUGACAAGCUUCAACCAGCUCAUGACCAGCAAAGAACCAGCUUAAACCAGCAGCCAUGCUUCAAAACAUACCUAACCAGCAUGUGAUGUUUUUUCAACGGGGUCAUCAGCCUUUCUUCCAGUCAGUCUGGCUGUCUUCUUUUUCUUCUUCUUCAGCUGUACAGGUACUGAUUCUCUAUUGGUAAAACUUGAUAAUUAGUGUCUAUAUGAUAAUAAGUGUCUACAGCACUGUCUAAUUUUCAUUCUUCGCACUAGUGUACCUACAAAGGCGGCAGCCAACGAGUGAUUUUCUUCAGUGUUUAGUGAAACACCACAGAUCAUAUCGUUUAAACAGACAAAAUACAUUGAAGGGGGCAACCCACACCAUAGACAAUUAAGGUACUUUUUUUUUUUAAACUAUUAUGAUUACAUCUUCAUCUCAUGUGAGUGUACUUGAAUCAUCCACUCCUCCACUGACUCUCCACAUAAACAUACUUCUUAAUGUGUAAAACUUUUUAAAGUUGUACACAUUAAGAAAUGUGUAAAAAAAAGUAUUCCACUAUGCACAAACCAGAUGAAAAGAUGCGUCUGAAGACAACAAGAUGCUGUGCAGUGCCAAGAUGUGGAAAACAGAGUUUGCAUUGCCUUCAUUCUGAUCCCAACAUUAGGAAAUUGUGGAUUCAUUUUAUUUUUAACGAAGAUCCAGACCGUGUCAGUAAGAACUUGGUCCUUUGUUCACUUCAUUUUACCGCAGAUUUACAAUCUCUGAUUCACCGCAAAUCCGCUGUAAAGCAAGAAGAAGAAGAAGAAGAUGUGACACUUGCCGGCUGUUGAGCAUGCGCUCAGGACUGUUUGGACAUUCCGGUGAAUCAGAGGUAAAAAAAAACAAAACUAUAUAAAUACUGUGCAAGUUUCUUGUGUCUUUACACAUCAAUGUAUCAUUACGAGCAGCAGUGUUUAAUUUGGUUUUGUUUGUGUAUGUGUAUUGUGUAUUUGUUUUUUUGACUCAAAGCCAUGAUUCCCAUUCACUUCCAUUAUAUGACUUAUAUGAGUUAAAAAUGUUAAUUUGUAUUAUACUGAAGAAACAAAGUCACCUAUAUCUCGGAUGCCCUGGGGGUAAGCAGAUAAACAUCAAACUUUCAUUUUUGGUUGAACUAUCCCUUUAAUGAAGAUACACCAUAUACACCUAAUGAUUUGAGGUUGAGUAAAUCAGUAAAAUUUUAGGGUGAACUAACCCUUUAACAGUUGUGACAACAGUUAAUUGACAUACAUAGAAUUCAUAAAAUGAUGUUGUAUGAUUUCUAGGCACUGAAUAGUUCAGCUAUGGGAUCACGCAAUAGUUGCACAGAGGUACUACCGUAACUAGACAAAAUUGUUACAGUAGAUGCUGUAUGUUUCUGCUAAAUGGAACCAUGUCAUCUGUCAUUUGGGAGGCUUUGAAUGCCUGUAAAAUGUGUAAAUCACAAGCACACAUUACUCACAAAGGUUACAAGUGUGACUUAUAGAGCUGAUCACUGACCAUUUGUGUGUUUAGACUGAAUGUCAAUAGCUGUUUAAGAGUGUUGUCAUAUGUUGAAUAGUUCUGACACUGUGUGUGCUCUGCAGGUGCGGCAGCUCAGGGAAGGGUGUGAAAACAUUCAGGCAGAGGAAGGGAAUUUGAUUGUUUGUGUGAGAAUGUCCUCUGAAACACUAAAUGUCAGAUGAUUUCCUCAAGCCCACACUGCAUUUGUUUAGCUUGUAAUCAUUGUUGCAGGAUUCCAUGACAAAGAUAGAGUGUUAUGGUUGAUAAUAACAUAAACAAAAGAGCAUAUGCUCCAGCCCCAUGUUUGUGGAAUUUACUGUGCUCUUGUUACACACCUGAAAUGCCACCGUCAUCUGUUCCGUCUUGGAGUGCUGUUACACACUCACACAAACACACACCUGUGCCACUGAAGCGACAGAUUGACCACCUGUCUCUGUGGGUGGGCGGGUACAGUCUGACUGAGGCAGAUUGUGAGUGGGAGAGGAGAUGACUGACGCAUCCUGUGACCAAUCUGAAAACAUCUCACAGCUCCUGCAGACUGAAAUUACAUUUACUUAUGCCACAUGUCUUAGGUGGUAAAUGAUACCUGGACGAGCUUUAGUGAUAGCAUCCUCAGUGGAAAUUCACAGUUUAAAUACAGCCAAACCUAAAAAGUAUAUGUCAUGUGACUAAUCAACAGUUAAUUAAAGGUUUAUACAUUUUCAUUAAAAAUCAACUCCCCUUUGGAGAAAAUUAAGGGGAUUUUUUUUGCUUCCAGAACCUGACUGUUGGACUCUGUUUCAUGCAUUUAAGUGCCUCCAAAUAAUACCAGUAUUUACAAGCUGGUAAGAAACAUGCAGCUUGUGCUGGACUUAAUAUAAUGUAAGUAGGAAAGGA